UACGGGAGGCAGCAGUGGGGAAUAUUGGGCAAUGGGCGAAAGCCUGACCCAGCGACGCCGCGUGAGGGAAGAAGGUCUUCGGAUUGUAAACCUCUUUCAGCAGGGAAGAAGGAAGUGACGGUACCUGCAGAAGAAGCCACGGCUAACUACGUGCCAGCAGCCGCGGUAAU
rnacentral:rRNA from 1 species